CCGAAGUCCGGUAUUGCUGGGUCAAAGUUGGAGGGAAGAAGGCACCAUGGUCACUCCUGAGUUUCUAGAAGAGAAUGGGUCUCUUGCCUCUCCUAGCUUCCAGAGAGCAGGGAAAGCACCAGGCAGGCAAAGCCCUCCAGGGAGUAAUGCCACCAAAGGAGAGGAAAAGGCAUUGGAUUAGCCACGUCGCUGAAAUGAAUCUCAGACUGUACAGAGAGUCAAUGGUGAAAGAACUCCAUUUGAGAACAGGUUUUUGGGCUUGUCAUUCAAGCUUCUCAGAAUCUGGAGAACUGCCUGAUUCAUUGACUAUGAAUGGUAAACACUGUCCAGGCGGUCCGUGCUUCUCCUUUGGGUUGAGGAAAUGAGUCAGACCAUCAGAGGUGCUGAAAUGGAAUGUGUCUUCAAGUUACCUAUGAGAUACAUGGGUGCAAGGCAUCCAUGGAGCAUCAUCCUUUUCUGCAGUUUUGGACUGUUUUGCACAACUUGACCUCACCUUCCUCAUUCCCAUACUGUGUGCUCACCUUCCACCCAAGGGCUUCCCUGUUGAUACUGUCCAGAGGCCACAUAUGUAAAACCUAAUGUGAGAGAGUUAAUGUGCCCUGGGCCAAAACUUUAAUCAGUGGAAGAUGGAGAGGGUGGAUAAAUGUUCUCCCUUUCUCUCCCAGAUGAACUGUCCUGAACUGUCCAUGCGGCUUCUCGAAGGAUGGACCCAACAAUCAGUCAUCCUUAGUAAAGAUCAGCUUUAUGAUAUAUCAUAUACUCACCCCCUUUCCCUGCUUCUGUGCCUUUUUCCCACCUUUCUACAACAUGGUAUUGCAUCUCCCAAUGAAGAAAUCAGGCUCUGAUUACUGACACACUCAGGGUAAACAGUUAACCUCUGGACAAAACUGACACCUCAGUUGCAUAUGUCUGAAUACUGUAGUAUGUUUAUUGUCUUGCUUCCUCAAUAUCCAUUUCUUGACCUGCUCUAAAUUAGAGUUAAUUAUAGAAUAUUAGAGCUGAUAGUUACUAUUGGGAAGAAUGUGUCCCCCAAAAAAUCAUAUGUUGAAACUCUACAUAUGUGAUGGUUUCAGGACAUGGGUCCUUUGGGAGGUAAGUAGAAUUUGAUGAGAUCAUGAAGGUAGAGCCCUCAUGAAUGGGAUUAAUGCCCUCAUGAGAGAACUCGCCUCCUCUCUCUGCUCUCUUCCAUGUGAGAGUACAAGAAGUUGGCAGUCUGCCACCCAGAAGAGUUUUCAUCAGAACUCAACUGUGCUGGCACCCUGAUCUCACUUCCAGCCUCUAGAACUGUGAAAAAUAAAUUAUUGUUGUUUGUAAGCUUCCCACUCUAUGGUAAUUUGUGAUAGCCAUCCAAGCUGACUCAGACAGCUCGAAUGUUCUCAUCCAAGUCAGCCUUCCUAGUAGGCUUCUCUUCUUCUGACAACCUCUGAGGUUCCUUGUUCCCAAGAAUAUCUCCUUAGUGCUCUUGUUUUCUAAUUCUGAAUCUUAAUCCCCCAGGCUGGCUCAUCUACCCAUGAUUCUGCAGCUUUUAUCCAGAUGCUGAUGAUCUCCACAUCAGUGUCACCAGCCCAGGUCUUUGUCUUCAGCUUGGCUCUAUUUUACAGUGACAGUUGGUGUCUUGAGCCCAAAAGGUCCAAGGCUUUUUUCUAUUCCCAUUAUUUCUGGAUUACUGGUUUUUCUGAAUUCUGCCUUAUAUUAAUAAUGAUGAUUUCUUGACUAGUCUUCUUUUUCCAGUCUUGCUGGCCUGUGAGCCAUUCACAUUGUUGUCAGGGUGAGUGUUCAAAAACUGGAAACUGAUCAUAUUAGGCCCUCAAUGCCUACAGGACAAAGUCCAUCUUCAUGUAUCAUGCACUUCUUAACUUUAAAAAAAAUUUUAAAUUUUAUUUUUAGAGAGAAAGCUGAGCAGGGAGGAGGAAAGGCAGAGAGAGAGAGAGAGAGAGAGAGUCCCAAACCUGCUAGAGCCAUCUUGGUGUCUUUACAUGAGCUACUAACCCUCUCCCUGGAACUCCCCAGAUCUUUUCAUGGCAGGCUCUUUUUUAUCCUGGAUCAAAUGUUACUUUCUUAUAGAAGCCCUCAUUCAUUAUUCACCUUUCACCUCAUUAUCUAUGAUACCCUGCUUUAUUUUUCUCAUAGAACUUCUUAUUUGAAACUUUCCUAUUAUGUCAUAUUAUUUCACAAUUAUACAUUUACUUAUUUUAUCAUCUUUCUCUCUCACUUGGUUUUAUACUUCAAGGGCAGAGAGAUUGCUUGUCUCAUUUAUUGUCAUAUUAAAGUGUCUAGAACAAUAUUAGAUGUUAAUAAUAAAAUUAACAUAACUAAUAAAUAUGAACUAAUGAGUAAAUUCUAAUUAGUUGAAAGAAUGGAUGAAGAAAUGGAUUCUUCAGGGCCUUGAUAAAUGCUAUUUCCUCUGCCCUUUGCCAAAAAUAUUCUGCUCACCAUCGCUAUUUCCCUUAUGAAUUUGUACUCCUUGGUCAAGGCCCAACUCAAAAAUUUGUAAAGCUGCUAUUGUGUCUCACCCAGAAAGAAUUGGCCUCUCUUCUAUGACUCCCUCUACUUGUUCAUACUCUUUUAUAACACCCAACAACUCACAGACAAAGACAUCUUCCUACUGAACUCUGAUGAUUAACCAUCUCAUCCUUUGGGGUUAGAAACUAGAGUCAGCAAAAUUUACAGACUUACUCAAAACUAUAAAACUAGAACUGAAAACCAGACCUUAGUCUAGUACUCAACAUUUUAGUAUGUACUCCCCAAAAUACCAUGGUAGAGAAGGAGCAUCUCUCUAAAUCUGCCUAGAUCCUUCUCUAGAUGUCUCAGUUUCUCCAGAAACUCUUGCUUUCUCAAUGUGGAGAUGGUUAGAGGUGACCAAUAUUUUUCUUAUUGAAUCCUUUGGUAUCUGGUUAUAUAUGCAGUUCCUAGUACACUGAAAAUACCCAAUAAAUGUUUGAAUAAGUAUAUGUACUUUUUAUUGUCUCUUUAAAUUUUUUUCUGCUUUCAUGUUAUU